GAAUUUUCCUCAAAGCUUCAUUGUCUAAACUCUGAACCUCAUCAUAACCUCAGUUCUGCCUAGCUCCAUAACUAGUAGGUUUCACAAUUUGAUGUCCUCUUGCUGUGCUGACCCACUUGGAACUGGCCAUUCAGCAAGAUCCUAGAAUCUGGGGAUCAGAGACUACAACCCGGAAGGGACCAGGCUCAGAGCCCUGUGGGGUACUAGGCAGGAGGCUCUGACAUUCUGCCACCAACACACAGGAAGCAAACAGGUUUUUUUCUACUGGUGUUGGUGUACUUUGUGCUCAGAGAAUAGAAUAUCCCAGGGGAGUGUCAAACCAUGAGAAAAGGAAAGGUUACCAAGCAACGGCUUCAGGCAAAUCACCUCAGAUCUGCUCUCCAUUCCCCCAGGGUUGUGGGGGUCCGAAGCACAAGCAGAUGUCUGGAGGGAGCUAUUACUCACAUCCUCCCCUUCUUAAUUUCCCCUUCUUAAUUUCGCUCGGUGGCAGUAGCAGCAGUCACAGACCAAUCUCUAUCACUUCAGGAAAGAAGGGGGCAGAAACAGAUGCGUAGAGCAGCUUCUGAAGAUCAGCAGGCCUGUGCAGCAUCAUCUGAGGGUCCCCAGAAUUAAAGCAACAUGAAACCCUUCAUACUGAGUGUGGCCACUUCCCACUGACCAUGACUCACAAAUGGUUUCCAAUUUUAGAAGCUGCCCUGUCCUCAUAAAAGAAUUACCAGGAAGGUAGGAGGUUUGUUUGUUUGCUUUUCUGUGCAUCUAAGUACCCUGACAAUCUAAUCUCUGGAGAGUCUCAGUAACCAGGCAACACAAGUCAUGCUCCAAUUGUGCGGUCCUCAAUCCACUUUUCCUGUGCUAUUCCAGUUCAAAGUAAGAAUACCAAAGCCAGAACUGCAGAAGAUAAAUGUGGAUCUUUAUUACUACAAGCAGAUAACGGGGUCUGCCCCCUCUUCUUAUUGCUGAGUAGAAAUUCUGAGGCAAGUGCUUUUAAAAAGACUAGAACAGCACAUUUUACCUAAGAAUAAGAUUAUAGCUAGUAACCUGUUUUUCUUACAAAAAAAGAAAAUGGAAGGAGAUAGCUUUUGUCUGGUGACAGUUUAUUUUAACCCAGAUGCUUCCUCCACUUGUAAUUUGGCCUCAUUUGUGUUUUCAGAAACAUCACCAAUUCAGACGGGUUUCUUGGGUAAGGACUUAAUGGACAAGGUUAAACACAGCUGUUCUGGUGCCUGAAAUCCUUAAGAGUCUAGCAGGACCGGAGCAAGUAAAAUAAACUCAGAAAGAGCUGUCUGGAUCAGUGUUUCUAGAGACAAAAUGAGUAUAAAUGAGCAUGGAGUCAACAGGCCUCCUGGGUCAAGGUCAGAGGCAACCUGGGGACACGGAUUAACAGCGGAAGAACACUGCCUAUAGUACAUUUGCUAUGAGACAGCACAGAAUUGGACAUUCUGGCCUUUAAUCAUCAGGCUAUCACAAGGAAAAGUGGUCCAGAUUUAGUACUGUGUCAGCACUUUUUAUAAUAAAUGCUUCAUUUACUAGGAAUUUAGCUAUCGAGUUGCAGAUGAUAAAAAUGACACUCAAAUGCAAGGUCAAACAGCAAACAUUUAUAAUUCCUGUCUAUUAGCUAAAUACACAGUCCUAAUUAUCCAGGUGAAAGGGGUAAUUGUUUUCCCAAACAGUGCCUCAAUCUCCAGUGAUUUACAAAGCACUUUUACACACAUCAUCUCGUCACAGUGGUGUGUAUGCCCUUGUUACACAGAUGGAUUGAACUGGAAAUUGUUUCAUUUGCCAGUUUUAAGUAUCUUCCUUUUCCCUGUGGGUGGUUUCUGUAAGGCCUGAUGGACAUAUUAUCAUCUGGAUCUUCCAGGCAAUGACACCUCUAAAGAGGCCGAUGAACUAGAACUAUCAGUUCUAACACCUUAGGCAAGAAUCCCUCAAUCUCUCUGGGUUUCAGCUUCUUCAUGUGUAUACUGUAGAUAUGUUGUCAAAAUUGUGCUAAUCUUCACCAACUAAUAAGAAAUGAUAAGAAUGAGAUUUUGUGGAUAUGGGACUUUAAUAUACAGUGAGAGGAAUAUAAAUCAGCAUGACUUUUUGCUGGUGUUAUGUAAUAAAAUGUAAAACGUACAUACCAUUUCAUGCAGAAAAUUUAUAUCCAAGAAUCUAUCCCAAUGAGGUAGUUACAUAAAUAUGCAAGUAUACACAAGAUGUUCAUCACAAUUAGAAACAACCAAAAUGUCCACCAACAUGAGACUAGUUCAAAAAGAUACGAGGUAUUCAUACAAGAGACUUUAUGCAUCCACUGAAAAGAAUCAUGUAAUUCAUAUUGGUUGACUCAAAUAGAAGCUCCAUCACAUAUUUUCAAGACAAAAGGAAUUACAAAGCAGUAUGGUUGAUAUAAUCCCAUUUAUGUGCAAAUCAAAUAAAUUCCAGAUUUCACUGUGGUUCAAUUCAGCCCAGUGUCACAUUCACAGAAACAACCCAGCAACAAAAAGGCAUUACAGAGUAAUUUCAGCCUUGGCUCUCCAUUUUCAGAAAACAUUAAAGAACCUACAAUUCCUAACCCACAGCACCACAUCUUAAAAUAGUCUCUGUAUCCCACCUUUUUCAUCUUGUUCUCUAAUUCUCACACUGUAAUAGCUCCUGAAGGCUUUCUCCUCCCCAAUAUGCUUUUCUACUCUCAACCAAAGACAUCACAAUGAUACUCAAACAGAUCAGCCACUUCUCUUUUGUCCCUCUUCCUUCUUCCUUUGUUUUUUUUCUUCACUGAUUACCAUACUCCGAAAAAUAAGGUGGAGAAAGAAGAAAAUGCUAAGUGGACAAAAUUUCCUUUCCAGAGAGUAGGAGAAAAAGAGAUUGACUAUGCAUAUACUACAAUGUCUUAACCUUGUAGCAAGCGCAAAAUUAUUUAAGUGAUAUCUACUGCAUAUAUGCCUAGAAGUGUCUGCAAGGAUGUUGACAAAAUUCUUAAGAAUAAUUAUCUCAGUUGGGAUUUCCCUGUGAACUUUGCUUUUAAUUUUAUAUCUCUCCUUAUACCUCUUUGAGUAACUCAUGAUGAACAUGUUUUGUUUGUGAUCAAAACCACGAAAUAAACUCAUGUCAACAUGUAAAAAAAGAGGUUGUAAUGAUGCUCACAAGAAACAAUAGACAUGAAAAAAUACACAAUUUAAGUACAAAGUAUAAGCAUUUUAAAUAAAUACGAUUGGACUGUCUCUUCCAGUUUCCAACAUUAAUAAGCUCCAUUAUUUUGGAAUUAUUUUAAUUACUCCUACAUGUUAGAGUUGGUUAAUU
rnacentral:lncRNA from 1 species